UAGUUGUUGAAGCCCAGCUUUAAUCCAUGGUGAUCUGAUAAAACACCAGGGGUCAUUUCAAUCUUCUUGUAUCUUUUGAGGCUUACUCUGUGCCUGAUCAUAUGGUCAAUUUUAGAGAAGAUUCUGGGAUGUACUGAAAAGAAGGCAUAUUCUUUUGUUUGUGAGUGAAUGGUUCUGCAAAUAUCUCUUAAGUCCAUUUGGUUCAUAACAUGUUAGUUUCAUUGUUUCUCUAUUUAGCUUCUGUUUUGAUGACCUGUCCAUUGAGGUGAGAGUGGGGUGUUGAAGUCUCCCAUUAUUAUUGUGUGAGGUUCAAUGUGUGAUUUGUGCUUUAGUAAAGUUUCUUUUACAAGUGUGAGUGCCCUUGCAUUUGAGGUACAGAUGUUCAGAAUUGAGAUAUCAUCUUGGUAGAUUUUCCUUUGAUGCAUAUGAAGUGUCCUUCCUCAUCUCUUUUGAUUACUUUUGGUUGAAAAUCCAUUUUAUUAAAUAUUAGAUUCACUACUCCAGCUUGUUUCUUGGGUUGGUUUGCCUGGAAAACCUUUUUCCAGCCCUCUAUGCUGAGGUAGUGUCUAACUUUGUUGCUGAGAUGUGUUUCUUGUAUGCAGCAGAAUGAUAGAUUCUGUUUGUGUAUCCAGUCUUUUAGCCUGUGUCUUUUUAUCAGAGAACUGAGUCCACUGAUGUUGAGAUGAGAGAUAUUAAUGAUCAGUGUUUGUUAUUUCCUGUUAUUUUGAUGUUGGGUAUGUGUGUGUUGUUUGUUUUCUUUUCUGUGAAAUGAGUAAUUUCUUGUGUCUUCUUGGGGGUAGUUACCCUCCUUGUGUUGGAUGUAGAUAUUGUUUAACUUUGUUUUUAUCAUGGGAUAUUUUGGUUUCUCCAUCUAUCAGUGAUUAAGAGUCUUGUUGGUUAUAGUAGUCUGGGCUGCCAUCUGUGUUCUUUUUUAGGGUCUGUAAGACAUCUGUUCAGGAUCUUCUGGCUUUUAUAGUCUCUGUUGAGAAAUCAGGUAGUUCUGAUAAGUCUGCCUUUUAUAGGUUUCUUGGCCUUUUCCUCUUGCAGCUUUUAAUAUUCUUUCUUUGUUCUGUACAUUUAGUGUUUUGUUUAUUAUGUGGCAGGAAGAUUUUCUUUUUUGGUCUAAUCUAUUUGGUGUUCUGUAUGCUUCAUGGAUGUUUUUAGCUAUCUCUUUUUUAGGUUGGGGAAGUUUUCUUCUAUGAUUUUGUUGAAGAUAUGUUCUGUCCCUUUGAACUGGGGAUCUUCACCUUCUUCUAUCCUAUUAUUCUUAGAUUUGGUCUUUUCAUAGUGUCCCAAAUUUCCUGGAUGUUCUGAGUUAGGAACACUUUACAUUUGGCAUUUUCUUUGACAUAUCUAUCAAUUUAUACUAUGGGAUCUUCUACACCUGAGAUUCUCUCUUCAUCUCUUCUAUUUUGUUGGUAAUGAUUGCAUUACUAGUCCCUGUUCUCUUUCCUAGAUUUUUCCAACUCCAGGGUUGCCUCCAUUCAUGUUUUCUUCAUUGCUUCUAUUUCUGUUUUCAGUUCUUGAACAAUUUUAUUCAUUUCUUUCACCUGUUUGAUUGUAUCUUUUCAUAUUUCUUUAAGGGAUUUUCUUUCCUCUUUAAGGACUUCUACCUGUUGGAUGGUGUUUUACUAUAUUUCUUUAGCAGAAAUAUUUAUAUUCUCUUUAAAGACCUCUUUCAUCUUCAUGAGAUGAAAUUUAUGCUCACUGUCUUGCUCUUCAGGUAUUUUAGGAUAUUCAAGGCUUGCUGUGGUAGGAGAGCUGGAUUCUGAUGGUGCCACAUUUCACUGAUUUCUGUUGAUUAUGUUCUUGCACUUGCCAUUCACCAUCUGUUUGUCUCUAGUGUUGGCUGGCUUGGGUGUCCCAGGUUGGAGUAGAUCUCCCUGGAGGUAGGUGGAUCUGUGGAAUGGAGAGCAGUGUGCAGGUGGAGGUAUGCCACUUCUUUUCAUUCUUUGAUAAAAUUAGGAGAAAAUUAUAUCUAAACAAAGAACAGAAUGAAUGUGACUUUUUUUGAAGUUGCAAAGCAAUUGACCUGGAUUGCACAUGUAGUCUUUUAUUAUAUAUGAUGUGCUUGUUUUGUAAAUAAUGAAAAACUAGACUUCAAAAAGAUAAUAACAAGCUAUCCAUUUUUAAAAGAGAGAGAGAGUGUGUGUGUGUGUUUGUACCAAUAGAAGUCAGGGAUGCUGGGUAUCCUAAAACUGGAAUUAGAGACAGUUGUAAGCCUUGUAAGCUAGCUUUUUGGGGUACUGAGAACUGAAUGAGUCCUUUUCAAAGUACCAAGAAUUUUCACCUACUGUGCCCUCUCUCCAGUCCCCCUCUCCCUCUGUAUAACCAUAGAAUAUGUGAUCUGUACCCCAAAAUGCAAAUGAAGGCAAAAAAUCAUUAUUAGACAGUCCAAAAGCGAAACCCAUGAGGCUUUGAAAUAAUCAGAAGUGUCUUUUUUAAGGCAUUAGCCAAGGCCACAGUGAAAGGCUCGUGACAUCUCUCUGACCCAUCAUCUGCGUCCCUCCUUCUGUUAACCAGUCGGGUCACCUCCCAAUAUAUCAUGAUGAUGAGAAAUUGAAUAAAUGAAUAAGAAAAAAUAGACACGUGUUUAAUCUUGGAAUGAACUGGGACAAAAUUGUGCCAUCAAGUUCAAGUCUACUGAAAGCUUCCUGUGUAAGGCCAGCUGAGAACCCUGCACAGCAUUUGAGCUCUCCAGCUUGAGGAAGUACAUGAAAGAUGUUCAGAUGUUCUUUUCUGGGUUACAUUUCAUAUGAUAUUCUAUAUGAAUGUAGAUUUCUUCUGGUAAAGGCUUCAGAGUUUUGUUAUAGAAAUGCCUGCCGUAAAUUAAAUUUUACACUAAGUCUCACUCUGUUGGUGAGUUCUAAUGCAAUGAUGUCAUAUCUUUCACAGAUUUGUCAUCACUGCAGGUUACACUUUAAUAUUGCAAAUACUGUUGGAGGAUUUUUCAUUCCUUUGAAUCCCACAACAGUGGUGGCAGAGGGCUAAGAACAGUACAACUUUAAUAAACAAAAAGGAACUGAGUAAUACAUUAAAAGGAUAAUAGAAUUUUAAUUCAGCUCGCUGAGCCCAGAAACUUCUGAUCAGCUUGCCAGCCUUGAGAAUUUGCUGUCUUUAAUCUUUUUUGAGAAAAACCAUUUGAACAGUCAGAGUUUAAAAAGCUAGAUUCAAGAUUCUGAUUAUGGAUGGAAAGAUUUUAUGAAAUUCAUAAGUAACUCAAUGUUAUUUGUGCAAAUAGAAAAUAUACCAGUGUGGUCAAGGUACCAUUGACAUGGGGACUAAUGACAUCUUAAUUUCCAUCAGGGGACAGCAGUCUGCUGCAGCUUGGCAGCAGUGAGGAGUUAGCUGUUUUUCAUUAGCACAUGGACUUUG
rnacentral:lncRNA from 1 species